rnacentral:misc_RNA from 1 species
UCUCCGUAGGUGAACCUGCGGAGGGAUCAUUACAGAGUUCAUGCCCUAACGGGUAGAUCUCCCACCCUAUGUUAUCAUCACUUUGUUGCUUUGGCGGGCCGUCAGGCCUCGGCUUGGCUACCGGCUCUCGCUGGCAAGCGCCCGCCAGAGAACCCCAAACCCUGAAUAUCAGUGUCGUCUGAGUACUAUAUAAUAGUUAAAACUUUCAACAACGGAUCUCUUGGUUCUG